AAUUUACUAAGAAGCAUAACUUAAAGAGCCUACCUAUUAUUUAUUUUUAUAAUCUGUGGUCAACAUGCACACAUAUUUAUGGUUGUUAAGAAAAGAUACCAAAAAAAUUACAGCGUAAAAGCGCGCUGUGAAUCCAACGCUACCUAAACUAUUUAUUAAUUUAUGUACUUAUAAAUAACUCGGCAUUUUGGUAACCUUAUUAGUUACAAUUUUUCAUUCACAAUUUUAUAAUCAAUAAUUACGUAAACUCAUAAAUUUAUGGGUUUGUAGAAGGUCGAUAAUGUUAGUAGGGCCGACCUAAAAAUACUGGGAUGGACUUUGUGAAUGAGGAUAUGCGAGAGAAGGGUGUGAGUGUAGAGAUGAGGUAUUAUGAUAGGCAUGAAUAAAAAACGAAAUGUUUCGUCCAUCCCACAUAGAGGGAUAAGGUCAAGAGGAUAAAUUUUCGGGUUUAAUUUUCAGUACACAAUUGGUAGAAGUGGUGUAUGAUGCAGGCGUAUCGUGCAUUUUACAAAGGACAACUGUGAAUUAGGAUAAAAUAAUGAUUUGUGUGUGUGUUUUUUUUCCCUAUCUAUUCUAGUAACCUCGAUGGGUUAUUGUUCACUUUCUGAACGUCAAAGUGUCAGCGAGCGACGUCCGCCAAGACACCAAUCCUCUUUCAAAUCCAGCCGUCAAAAGCAACACAUCCAUUGUAUAAUUCUCUAUUAAGUAUUUAAUUUGUUGUUCUUGGCAGCUAGAAAACGCAACACCGGCUGGAAAACGCAACAGUUAUACUAGAUUCACAGAACGAGCAGGUGAACUCACGGUGCUCGAACCUGACGCUUAUGAUCCAACCAGAGACCCGGAGCGGGACCAGUUGCCGUGAAGGACUAAAUCCCUUCGAAAUACUGACGUGGAAGGACGUGGGAACCCACCACAAUUACAUCCCAGGAGAGUUAUGGACAAAGAAACAUUUAAACUGUUUCAAGGCCCUGACCACGACCCUCAGUAAUGAGGAAACCGACGCAAGGAGGAGGAGGAACACUUAGAUACUGUCAAAAUUUCUGACACAAGUCAGCGCAAGCAAAUUAGUGCUGCGUAUUUGCUUAGUGAUAUUAUUUAAGGACACCUUAUUGCUGAUACCUACCAUUGUAGCUAUCGUUAAUGGGCGUAUUUCUUUCUGCCUUGAAAUCUCGAUCUCUAUAUAAUAUGAACCAGAGUAGCGGCAUUCAGACAUAGCAUGAUAUCAAUGAGUGAUGGUAACCACGUAACAAUGAGUCAGAAACAUAAAAAAUAUAUAUUUUUUUACAGAAAACAAAUCGACAUCUAACCCAAUUAUUAAUGCACAAACGAUCAGCGAGUGACUUAAUAAGUUGAACAGGAACGCAACUGCAACUGAUAUGUUACUAAAACAAUAAACAAAUUGAAUUUAAAGUUGAAAUAAAGUUCGUGUGACUCAAUCAUCGAUGUCUCUAAACACGGCUACCAGUUAGCACCAUUUAUGGGCACUAGGCGUACGUUAGGGCAGGGCCGGACUGUCUACUAAGUAUUAUAUUAGUUAUGACCCCCUAUCAUAAUUUAAAACUAGAAUUCUAAGCUUGCUGUUUAUUAGGAACAAACAUGUUUUGAUAUUUUCGGUUUGAUCAUUUUUAAAAUUAAUAUUAUUGAUUGUUUGACUAUUUUUGUGACGUAAUGAUGAAACAAUUUACAAAAAUAUAUCCAUUACAGAAAUAAGUAGGUAUACGUUUCAUUUGAAAGGUUUUGUGCUAUUGUGUGUAUAAUAUUUAAGAAUAUUCCUAUUCUAAAAUUUAUAUAUUGGCGCAACAUUACUGUUUAAUUAUAAAGCUAGCCAUUUCCUUAAUGUUGACAUUGUUGGUUAACUAAAGUCCAAUGCGUGUAAGCCAUUGUUUAAAACGGUAUUCAAGAGAAUUCAUGACUACGCUACCGCCACUCUUCUACUAUAAAUACGAGUGACUAAUGUUGCACAAUACGUGUUCAGGAACAAUACCUGAAGAGAAGAAAGAAAGAAAGAAGUCCUAUCCAGUCCAUCCUUACGGAACCCAAAUCCAGCACAUAGUAGAUGUAUACCAGCAAGCUCAUCACCCCUGCCUCGUUAGGCAGGAAUCCCAAGCCCGGGCAGAGGGGAUUGUCCCGAGGCUCGAUCUGCACUCCUGUAAGAGGACGCGAAGACCCGAUGGCGCACAAUACAUUCCGGCUCGAGAAGCCGACCGAGGCGGAGCUCUCUGUUGUUAUCGUUGUACACUUGUAAUGUAAUAAAUGGAAUUCAUUGGAAAA